rnacentral:tRNA from 1 species
ACCUAAUGGCAGAACAUUGCAGUAAAUUUAGAAUUUUCUUAACGUCCUA